rnacentral:rRNA from 1 species
AGAGUUUGAUCAUGGCUCAGAACGAACGCUGGCGGCAUGCCUAACACAUGCAAGUCGAACGCCCUCUUCGGGAUUAGUGGCGGACGGGUGAGUAACGCGUGGGAACAUACCCUUUGGUACGGAAUAGCCUCGGGAAACUGGGAGUAAUACCGUAUGUGCUCUUCGGAGGAAAGAUUUAUCGCCAAAGGAUUGGCCCGCGUUGGAUUAGGUAGUUGGUGGGGUAAUGGCCUACCAAGCCGACGAUCCAUAGCUGGUUUGAGAGGAUGAUCAGCCACACUGGGACUGAGACACGGCCCAGACUCCUACGGGAGGCAGCAGUGGGGAAUCUUAGACAAUGGGGGAAACCCUGAUCUAGCCAUGCCGCGUGAUCGAUGAAGGCCUUAGGGUUGUAAAGAUCUUUCAGUGGGGAAGAUAAUGACGGUACCCACAGAAGAAGCCCCGGCUAACUCCGUG